rnacentral:lncRNA from 1 species
AAGAAUAGAGGAAUAGUACCGUGGUGGUCUAUAAGCUGAUUGAUAAAUGUUGUUUAUAUAAGAUGCAGGUUUAGGUAUUUUAAAAAUCAUUAUCCAGAAGAAUAAACUUUGUUUGGGUCUUUUAUAAAUGUUAUAAUAUGACUUCAACAUUGACAUAGACAUCUCAACAUUUCUAAAUUUAAGCCGCCCCUCAAUUUGUAGUAGAUAGAAAUCUUUUAUUCUUUUUGUUUUUUUUUUUGGUCAUCCGAUUGAUUUUACUAGUACCAUGGCGAAAUACCAUGGAAUUACAAACUGAUGUUGGAGACGUACAAGAUUUUCAAUGAAAAAUAAACAUCUAAGAGCAGUAAAACUAUAUAUAAUAUCAAAAAACAUGUGUUUAAGUAUUAGUUUAUUACAAUAUUUAAUAUUUUUC